rnacentral:misc_RNA from 1 species
CGCGUUCCACCUAGCCACGCUGCGCCGAGAGGUUUGUGGGACGACGUGGCUUACUGCCACUGAUGCCGUUGAUCCCGCUUCCACAAACCCAGGGUUUGAAUUUGCGCCUCAGUCGCUGAUGGCAACCCCUCCCCCGUGAAAAAUGUGUCUGUGCACUCUCUGUGGCCGCAUACGCCUUCAGCCACGAAUCCAAUGAGCACUGCAUACCUCAUAAUCCUCCGCUUCUGUCUUUAUGCAUGUGUGGCCGUUCAAGGCGCAGGGCACAAGCACACGCACACACGAAUCACAGCCACCACCAGAGGCCGCAAGACGAUCUCACCCUGCUCCCUCACUCCCUUUCUCUGUCUUCCUGUGUGGGUAUAUGCGUCGCUGAUGAAAUCCCCCUCCUCACCCUUCUUUUGUUGUUGUUUUGCUGCUCGUUGUGCCUACUUCUCGCGCGGUGUUUCAAAAUCCGACGUUGUGCCACACUCCUUGCCUCGACGUCAAGGCGCUCACCCACCCCCGCCCUCAGCGUCCUCCUCACAGUCGCGUUCCUCUGGUCUGCUUCCUCUGAAACGAAACGAGUAUCGACUUGGCGGGCACAAACACACGCACGUGGGUGUCAGCGACGCGCGACAACUGCGUGAAGCUAAGGGAGUAGGAGGAGGAGGGGGUGGGGGCGAUGGUCAUCGAGAAGGGUGCGUGGCACACGCCACAGCAGGUCGCCCUCUCCCAUCGCCGGAAACGAAAAGAAAGACUCCAACAGCGGAGUCGAGUGAAGCCGCAUUCUGAUCACCACCACCGCAGAGUUCCUGUCAUCCCUUCUCUCCCACCCUCGCGUCCCCUGCUUCUCUACCCCACCUCCCUCUCGCACUGCCCCGGCC